AGCAAUCCUGCCAGAAACAUGGCCCACCUGCCCCACCACUGAUCUGGUGACACAUGCAGAGAUCAAUUUUGCAACUUGCAUUUCAACAUUCCUGCUUGAAGUGCGGAUCUCCUGCCCUUCAGCACACAUGGCCAGUCACAUGCCAAGACGAUGGAAUGCUGUCAGCGAGCAGCAUGGAAGACGCAGAGAGAGUGGUGGUCAGGUGGUGGUGGAGACAGGGAGAGUAUGUGGCCUGGAGAUUAACAAACAGAACACCAAUAAUCUUGUGACCUCCAUGCAUCCUUCCUAAUGUCAAUAAAGUUGUCUUAUCAUGCCCAAAA
rnacentral:misc_RNA from 1 species